CAGGAUUAGUUUUGUUUUCAGUGUUCCUUGGAGAGCAGCUUGCUGAGGGAAUGACUUAGCAGAGAAAAACCCUCUUGGCUGGUGGGGUCUGCUCGAUUCCAUGAUUCUGGGUGGGAAGGUGAUGAUGUUUCAUGUCCCUUGGGGAUUUAUUCCCACUCUGCUCUUGCUGAGGCUUGGAUAUCUCAUUACCUACAGAUAAUUAUCUAGAUAUAAUGAGGUACCUGCAUCUCUGAGUUGCUGGGCCUUGUCUUUAUUGCUUUCCUGGGGCAGCAAGCAGGGUAGGUUGGGAUUUUUAUUUAUUUAUCAAUAACUGUAGGCCUGGGGGGAUCAAAAUAAUUUGAAGGAGAUAAAGUGUUGCUAUGAGGUCAGACAAAGACAGACAUGACACUUCAAAGGUCAAGUGGCAAAAGUUGAAUUUUAAUGUUCGCAGCCUAUUUUUAUACAGUUUUCAAAAGCAUCAUGUUUAAUUCUUGCCACUCAGUUUGUUGGUCAGUAGGUGCUGGUGUGCAUACAUGCUGAGGCUCUCCUCUUCACAAAUAUUUACAUUUUUUCUUCAGGGAUAAUCAUGGGAUAAACUUCUUAUUUUAACAGGUGUCAGAUAGGUCUCACUGUUCCCAUUCCUUUCUCAUGGGAACUUCUCAGGCUAGCUGUUAGCUGUACUUAGCCAAAGUAACAAGGCCUUUCUCUUGUAAGGUUUUAUCUAUAUGCAAGAAUAAAGCUGAAAAAAUGUUGGAUGAGCAGCCAGACUUGCCCAUGCCAGAAUGGUUUGCAUUGUAAGGGACUUGAAAAAUCAUCCAGCUCCAGAUCUAAUUUUCUCCUAAAGGGCAUAUCUUUUCCUAAAGGGGAUAGAAGGAGAUCCAGAGCAAAGAGGGGUGGGAGAAGCUGUAAAGAUGGACCCCAAAAAACUCUCAGAGCAUGGGAUCUGACUUCCAGGACAGGGAGAGAUGUGGGUAUUUCAGAGGAUGUUUGGGUCUUCUCACUGCCAGCACUCACUUGGAGCCUUCAACUCCUCCUUGGCUCCAGAAAAAAUGAGUGGGAGGAGGAAACCUGGAUCCCUCUCUUCACAGUUUGAUGCCUCAGCAAAGAGCUGCUCAAGAUCAUCUAAGGCAGAGAUGAACCGCAGGAGAAGUUGGGAGAAGGAAAUUCAGAGGGAAAAGAGCAAACCAGCAGUUAUUUGGUGAGACAACAGGUCGAAACUCCCUUCUCUGCACCAGAGAAAUGUAAGAGUGAGAAAAUGGUGUUGAAAUUUAGCUUUCAGAGCCCAGCUGGAUGCCCAGCAGCAGAGAUGUGGCCAAACAGGGAUGAGGAAAGGUGUUUCUUGAGCUAAGUUAUGUAAAUAAAUGAGCCAACUCAAGCUUAAAGGGAUUAUCUGCCAUUUAGAGGGAAUUGUGAUUCUGUUCAGUGAGGUAAAAAUGAACACUGACAGUUUUAAUGCCCAUAACUCCAAAUUACUCUAUUAUCUCCAAGCUGUAUUAUCCACUCAUUUGCUUGUUUUAAU
rnacentral:lncRNA from 1 species